CAGUAAAGCUAUCAAGUCCCUCCAACCCCAGGAGUCCACUACCUGCACUUGGGAAGAUGUGGCGGGAGAGCCACUCGUCAGGGCCCUGACCUGGGUCCUAACCAGAGACAGCAGAGGUUAAGAGCAGUGUAAGUCAGGAGGGAGAAUCCAAAAACAAACACAGCUGAUUCCCAAACAUCAUUGAAGCACAGCUCUGUCCCUGUGAAAGUGACGGGUUACGUGGCCACAGAACACGCUGGAAGCCCGCCAAGAGCAUGGCUCGGUCACACAGGAGGCUUUAAAGUACCCCUGUGGACAGGCCGAAGUAUCCAGGCUUAACAGUACUGUUCUCUGGAAGUUUUUAAUACAUAUUCCAAAUUUCCAACCAAUCACAACUUGGGAAUAUUACUGGCAUGUGAAUCGCUGGAAGUCCGCUCUCGUUACAGCAUAUGCUCAACCCGUGUGACAUGGUCACCGACAGUUGUUUGUGAGCCCAGAGGAGUCACGGGGACCUCCUUGCCCUGGAGACACAGCACAUGACGUCAGUGAGGACUCUGAGGAGCAGGAAACGUGCUCUGGGACGAGUCUUCUCCCUCCCUGCUCGCAGUUCUGAUUUGCCAGGGGAUUACCUGCC